rnacentral:lncRNA from 1 species
AGCCGGCACGGUACACCUGAACCGCCGUACAUACACAGACACAUGCACAUAUACGGGGGGGAAUAAUAUGGCAAAACCUGAAGAGAGCGCCUCGUGCCGCUUUCAGGGGCAAACCCCCAUCCCUUUUCCUUUGCCCCGCAUGACACAUACGCUACAUACAGACGUAUGAACGGACAGACAGACAGACUUUCACCCUCUCUUGCCCUCGUCUCCCCCACCACCACACACAGGCACGUACCUUUUAUAAAAGCCGCCGUGCAUCCUUUCCAUCUAAGAUGCUACCUGACCCGGCGGCAUCACCCGACAUCAUAACCGGGCAGAAAAAUCAAAACCACAUCACCAAAAAUUAAAAACACGCACACGUACGACAAAAACCCACACGCGCACCUUCACUCGCUCCGUAUAUUCCGGCGCACACGCCGCCAGGAUUUCCCUGGUGUAGGCCGUCACCAGCUCGCACAGCUUGCGGCUCUUACAGAAGGCGAUGGUUCGUAGGCCGUGUUGUACACACUCCGCCAGCAGCAGCGCCACCUCCACUAUGGGGCUCUCGCGCUGCUGCUCCAGGGGGGUGCCCGCGGCACCGUGGUGCUCCUUCCACUCAGGACCUGGCAGCUGCGCCAGCAGCUGACGGACGACGGCGGAGUCGGCGGCGGCGGCGGCGGCGGCUGCCGGCGGCUGCAGGCCCAGUGCGGCAGCGGCGGCGGAGAGACCGCUCGUGCGGACGAUCACAGGGCGAGAGGGGGGCGGCGGUGGAGCCGCCGCCGGGGCCCCCGGUGGCGCAGCGGUAGCGGCAAGACGGCUGGCGGGGGAGGUAGCCAGGGAGGGUAACUGAGGGAGCCGGCGGCCGCCGCCGCCGCCGCCGCCGCCACCGCUGCUGUUGACGUCAGCAGCGGCACUCAGCGCAGCACGCGCCUGUGCCGCCACGGCCGCCACGUCACCCGCAGCCGCCUCCGCCACCCACGGCCGCUGCUUCCCACCCCUGGACCUCCCUUCCCCCGGCGGAGAGCGCGGCAACGGAACGGGUUUCCGCUUCCGCCGACGGCCUGCCUCCUGCCGUACAGCGUCCCACAAAGGCCCCACUUGCCGCUGCCGUACCUCUUCCUCCUUAACCUCAAUAUUCCCUCCAACUACAGCGCCAGAAGGUUCAGCUCCUCGCAGUCCAGAACGGUACUUCAUGAAGCCGUGAAAAUUUGACCGCGUCCAGGGUCUUGUUUCUUCACCGCGACCGGGAUUUCAGAUAUUUCUUCCGCAUGGGGGUCACCGCCGCCGCAGUCCGUACCGUUGUCGUUGUCGCUGUUACCGCUAGUGUCGGUGCUACUGCUACUGCCGCUACCGCCGCCGCCGGUCGCGGCGCCGUGCUGCCUGGAAGCAGCGGCUGCCGCCGUCACGAGCUCAACCGCCGCCGCCACCGUUGCCGCCUGGACCUCCGCCAGGCGACGCUCCGCUGUAUGACGCUGCCGCGGGCUGCCGCCAAACAGCGCCUGUUUCAGCUCCCGCAAAGGCUGCGCCGCCGCCGCCAGCUGCACCAUCUCUGCCUCCAUCGCCGCCGCACCGCCGCCGCCGCCAGCUAGCCGCUCUGCCGCCAGCUGCGACGCACGCGCGCGAGCAGCUCUCGCCUCCUGCAGCAACUUCCGCUGCCGCGCUCGCUCCGCCUUUCGAGUUAUCCGCCCCGCCGCGCGCGCCUCCGUACGACUCAUAAGCCCAUUACCCCUCGUCGCCGCCGUCGCCGCCGCUGCCCGUACCGCCCGUGCCGUCAACGGCGGGUUCCAAAGCACAAAGCGCCGUAACGCACACGGUGAGCCGUUACGCUCCGGACCCACAAGCGCCACGUCAUCCUCGCUAACGCCCACCAACCGCGCCGCCAUCUGCAGCGGAUUCGCCACCGUGGCGCUGGUGACAACGAACCGUGGGUCGGAGCCGUAGACGCAGCUGCAGAGACGCCGCAGGCGCCGCAGCACCAUGGCCGUGUGGCAUCCGAACACGCCGCUGUAUGCAUGUCCCUCGUCCACCACCACCACGGCCAGCUUUGCCAGCAGGCGGGCGAACUGGCGAUGUGACGGCAGGAGGGUGACGUGCAGCAUGUCGGGGUUGGUGAGAAUCACUUGGGCACGCAGCCGGAUGUCAGUACGCUCCGACAUGGGCGUGUCGCCGUCGUACACCUGUCGAGACGAGAUUAAUUAAAAGGGUUUUAUAUAAAGGUUCUAUAUAAACACAUGAUGAUACGAUUAAUAAAAAUUUGGAUUCAAAUUUCGUUUGGAGAUCCUUUAAAACAAUGACGGUUAGUAAAAAAGCCCAUAAACGCCCCCGUACGGAGUCUGCCUCCGUACCUACCUCCACCGCGGGCACCCCAGCUCCCGUAAGGCCCCCGAACGCCGCCUCCACGAGCUCCCGGAUCACCCUCAGCUGGUCCUGCGCCAGGGCCUUGGUGGGGAACAUGAGCAGCGCGCACGUGUCCGGGUCGUCGCACAUAGCCUGGGGGGAGCGGGGGGAGAAGGGGGGAGAAGGGUGGAGAAGGGGGGAGAAGGGGGGAGAAGGGGGGAGCGGGUGGAGAAGGGUGGAGAAGGGUGGAGAAGGGUGGAGAAGGGGGGAGAAGGGGGGAGAAGGGGGGAGAAGGGGGGAGAAGGGGGGAGAAGGGGGGAGAAGGGGGGAGAAGGGGGGAGAAGGGGGGAGAAGGGGGGAGAAGGGGGGAGAAGGGGGGAGAAGGGGGGAGAAGGGGGGAGAAGGGGGGAGAAGGGGGGAGAAGGGGCGAUGAGUGAGAUAACCGCAGGAAAAUUACGUAAUAAUGACGGCCAUGUAGGCUGGGCGAUAUAUUCUUGUUGACGAUGAUAAUACACUGAUACUGAUAAUAAUCAUGAUCAUGGCAUUCCCUCCCUCCUUCCUUCCCCUCCCCCUGCCCUCCCACCCCCUUCCUCUCCCCACCCCCUACCUGCAACAUGGGUACCAGGUAGCACAGCGACUUGCCACUGGCGGUGGAUGUGGCCACCACCACCACACGGGGACACCGGGUCCGGGGGGGAGUGGGGGACCGAACACCGGGCUGGGGCUCAUGUGGGGAGCGUGGAUGUUGGAGAGAGAUCUGCUGCUGCUGCUGCUGCUGGUCCGACUCCUGUUGCUGCUGCUGCUGGUGCUGCUGCUGGGGGUUAAGGAAGCCGUCCUGUUGGUGGUGAUGGUGAUGGUGAUGUUGGUGUUUGUCGUACUUGUCGUACCCCAGGAGGGCAUCAACCGCAUCCGCCUGGUGUGUGUACAGCCGGCCCCCCGGUAUGCCCAGGGACUGCAGGCCCCGCAGCACGGGGGGGGACAGGGGGGCGGCGGGGGGGGCGGUGGCGGCGGGGCGGCCGGGGAUGACCUCCACAUGAACCACCUGCGACAUCCAAAGCGUGUGUGCGGGAGUGGAGGGUUGUAUUAGGAUUUGCAACGCAGGGAGUCACGUCCAUUGAUAUACUAUUUUCCCAUGUAUCGCCCCGUGGUAACCAGUCCUCCAGUUCCGCAGUAACCCCCUCUCCUUCGCCAUCACCACAUCCCCUCACAACCCCUCACAUCCCCUCACAUCCCCCACCUGUCCCUGAUACCAGGGCAGCUCCUGAAGGUGAUUCAACAACUCCAGGGACGUCAGUGGAUUCGUUGCCGUACAGGGCUCGUACUGCUUCAGCAAGCUGGGUGGCCGUGGCGCCGCACCGGCACGUGGCCCAAACCCUCCGCCGUCGUCGCCGCCGCCGCCGCUGCCGCCACCGCCCGCCGUACCAGCACUCGCUCCCGCCAGCAGCGCCCGCCGCACACGUACCCGGGCCGCUGCGGAGCGGAGCUGCUGUUCCGAGAAGGCGUCCCGUCGCCGCAGCAGCUCGCCCCGGAACACCGGGUGCCAGGUGCGGCGGGAGAUGGGGUCCCAGGCGGCGGAUGUGGACUCCGCCGCCUCCGAGGAGACGGCAGCCGCUACGGAGGCGGCGGUGGCAGCGGCAGCCGCCGGGGCUCCAUCCUCCGAUGUUUUACCUGCGGUGUUGCCGCAGGAGGUGCAUUCAGCAGCGGCAGCUCCACGGGCGGCGGCUGUGUUGGCUGUCCUGGCAGCGGUGGCGGUGGCGGUGGCGGUGGCGGUGGCGGCCGCAGUAGUUCCUCCUCCUGCCGCCCCCCCUCCUGCCGCCCCCGCCAGUCGCUCCGGGUCCAGUCGGCUGAGGAAGUCCUGGUGCAGCUGAUCCACCACGGAGACCAGUCCGCGGCGGAAGGCAGCCUGGCGCCUGGGGAUGUAGGCAGGAGGGGGGGAAAGGGGAGGAGGAGGAGGAGGAGGAGGAUGGGGAGGAUGUUAAGGAGGUGAGGUAGGAAGGCGAGGUCCGAGGUGGGGACCUCCUCCUCUUUCCCCCUCAGUCCUCGGCACCCCGGGGCCGCCGUCCGGGCUCUUGAAGUGCCACUGGGGGCCCCAACUGGGGGCACUGGGGGGCACUGGUGGGGAGGCGGCACACUCACGACUGACCGGCUGCUCAUUGACGCCCCUCCUUACGUCUCCUUCACACGUGUACAUACAUACACAUACACAUACACAGAUACACACACACCUGGUUAAAACGUUGGUGGCGAAGCGCAGCCUCCUGCCCGCCUCCAGGACAACGGCGGGGAUGUGCGGGGGAAUCCUGAGGGCGCCUGGGGUUGGGAAAGACGAACCACGUGAGAAAGAGUGAAGGUGCUGCCAGGGCAAAAGAGUGUACACCAGACGUAGAACUGACCGAAAGGCGUUCUUGAAGUGCGGCGACCUUGGGUUGGGACCCCGAAGUCAUCGUCAUCAUCAUCACACUCGUGCAGGAAGAGACAAGCUGCCGGAGUAAGAGGAUAAAGGAGGUGGUAACACACGAGCACAACGGAGGUGAUAGGACACCGGGGGGGCCGAGGUAGGGGGACGGGAUAGGGGGGACUUUGAUGAGGGCCAUCAAAGGGCUGUUUCAUCUCAGUCGCUUCUUAUAGCAGAUGCAGCUACACCCCCACCCCCAUGAAGCCAGUCCCCAAGCCCGCAACCCCGCUUCAUCUUUAAUAAUAAUUUUUGUGUGUCUGUGUGUUUGAUGGCAUGCAGCGGUUCUUUUAUGUGUGUUUUUUGACCACCAGGUAACGAGACGUGUGACAGCACCCAGCACACUGCACUACCGCCUCAUCUCGAACCCACCGUCAUUACGUAGGAGCCGCCUCCCACACCUCCUCGCUGCCGUCGCCUCCUUGCCCUCCGCCUCCGCCUCCUCCUCUUCCUUUUCCUCCUCUUCCAUUGCCGCCAUAUCACCGCCUCCGCCCCUCCGCCUGUCCUCCUCCUCCUCCUCCUCUUGCUGCUCCCCCUCCUCCUCAGCGGUCGCUGCCUCGUUUUUUUCUUCGUACAUUAAGAGCGAAGCCCUGAUAUGCGGUCCAGUUUUUUUUUUAGUUCUGACUACAUACAUACAUACAUACAUACAUACAUACAUACAUACAUACAUACAUACAUACAUACAUACAUACAUACAUACAUACAUACAUACAUACAUACAUACAUACAUACAUACAUACAUACAUACAUACAUACGUGCAAAGUGAAAGAGACACCACAGCCGACGCACACACACACAAACGGGAUAGAGGGAGGCAGGGAGGAAAAGACGAACCACGAACGAGUGAAGCUGCUGCCAAGGAAAGAGUGUACCAGAAGUAGAACUGACCAAAAAAAGGCGUUCUUGAAGGCGGCGACCUCGGGAUGCUGUAGUGAUGAUGAUGUCGGAAAAACUACCUACCUAGCCGCCAAGACUAAAACAAGCGCAGAAGAAAAGCAGUAGAACGUAGCCGUAAGAAAGUAAAGGUAGGUAUUUUCGCCUUUUCCGGCGAAAAGGUUGUGGAAAACUGCUGACGUGAGCUGGAAAAGAAUGUUUGCCGCCGGCCUGGCGGCGGCAUUGACGAAAUUGGAGCAAAGCUGGCUGAUAAGCUGGUAAUAAACAGCUGAUGACAUGCAAGUGCUCCUCCCACCACCCAAAAAAAACACUCGCCCCACCUCGCCCCGACCCGGAACUAUCCUAGUCCGGCUAUAGCCGACCAACGCCAACGCGAUAUACACCGACAAAGCACUCGAACCUCCCUUCGGACUCGGGGGCAGGGAGCGAGAGGAAGAGGCAUUCGGCGUUCCCCGUACAGCCGGUGGUGGUGGCGGUGCGGAAAGCGCCGACGUACGAUACCAAAGCACACAGCCGCACCGCACACGCACACGAAGCGACAGGGCGCAUGUGCACUGCACGACGAGGAGGAGACGACGCUGUGUAUAAUUCUUGGGUUGCUUGCGUGACUGUACGGCUGUCAGCACCAUGUCACUGUACGGCUGUCAGCACUGCUCGAUGCGCACCGCAUCACAACAGGACGGACAAUGCCGUACAGCCGUACAGCGCAGCAAUGGGAGCUUUAGCACCUCGUCCCCUUCGUUCCCAAAGAAGGGGAAACCAGAGGGGAGCCCGACUUCGGUUCUCCCUUUGGGGGCAGCUGCGUCAUCAUCAUCACCAUCACCAUCGCUUGGCGGACGUCGCGCGUCUCUCGGAAGUGGAACUCCUUCGCCGCCCCGCCCUUGGGGGGCAGCUGCGUCAUCAUCAUGUAGUUUCCCCUCCUGCCCCUCCGUCCCCUCCCGCACUCGUGAGUCGGUAUAUAUGUCUAUCCGUACCGCGACAGACGAAAAAUCCCAAACCCCCCCAACCCCCACCUGCCCGGAUCUAUCAGCUCCACCGUAACAACGCCGCUGCCGUACACCGUUGUCGUACCGCUACCACCGUCUUCCUGCCCUGCCGAUGGCUCCGCCGUCGUCGGCUCCGUCAGCUGCUUAUCCAGCUGUACGGCUCGGUCCGCCAGGCAGUCCUGCCGCCAGCCCUGAGCCGCCAGCAGCGUGUGAUGGACGCGGCCUCCUCCUCCGCCGCCGCCGCCGUCGUCGUAAAUGGCGCCGCUGGUGCUGCCGCCGGCGGCACUGGCUGGCGCCGCCGCAGCCCCCGUCCUGCGGGUGGCCCCUACCCGCGUGACCAGCAGCAGCACCUCGGGCACCAGAUCUGCGGCUAACAAGAUGUCUCCCAGGGCCACUUGGAGGUGCGGCAGCUGCCGCUGCAGGGCCUCACGCAUGUUGUGCCACGUCAUCUGAUGGCGAGCAGGGCAGGGCAGGCCAGGGCAGGGCAAUCAAAGGAGGUUUUUAUUGUGAGGUUUUAGGUUGUUUUGAGAGUUUAGGAGGUUUUACAUUUCGAUUUGUGGAACGAUGCAAGGGGGGCGGGAAGAGGAGGGAGGGUAGAGCUCAGAUUAAGUAAAAUCUAAAGGAUUUGAAAAAUGGAAGUGGAUGGUGGUGGAGAAGGGCGGCGGGGGGAGAAGGGUUUAUUGGCGGACGAGAGACGGGGUGGGGGUGGGGCAGGAAGGGCAGAGUCGGAAAAGCAGUCAGGGGAGCCCCGUAGAACCCGAGGGUCAUCCAGACCCUCAUACUCACGCACCGCGUUCCCAGCCCUUAACCCCCAUUCCCUCCCCUUCCCCUCCCCUUCCCCUCCCCUUCCCCUCCCCUCCCUCCCCUCCCCCCACCUCCCCCCCCACGCACCUGCACCUGCUGGCCAAGCAGGAACGUAUACAGCGGGUUGAGGCACUCGAAAAUGCGCUCAAGUCUCUCCAGGGCGGGGGGCAGCGGCAGCACACAGUCCGCCACGGCGCGAUCGAACUGCGGACCGGAACGGGGGUACGACACCUUCGGCCGGUGGCGGCUGCCGCCGCUACCGCCGCCAACGCAGGGUCCCCCUGUGGUAGUGUCCGGAACACCCGGUAAGCGGGCUGCGACGGCGACGGCGGCGGCGGCGGCGGCGGGGGCUUCCUGUUCCGCAUGUUGAGCCGCCGGCGCCGGCACCACGUCUGUCGGCAUGUCGCGUCGCUUCCGCUUGGGCGUCCUCCCUUCCCGCGUCUCGUCGCGUGCUUCGGAGAGGCUCCGCCGCUGCCGCUGCCGCUGCCGCUGCCGCUGCGGCCGCUCCGGUACCUCAACGGCGUAGCAGCGACGCGCAAGAGCGCCGUUGCCAUUGUCAUCGCCGUUGUUCCUGUCGCCGCCCCGCUCGCCAUCCCCUCUCCCAAAGCUCCCGUCCGCCGCCGCCACCCCCGCCACUCCUGGCUCUGCCUCCGCCGCCGCCGGGCCUGCCCUACCCGUCCUUGGCAGCGGGGCGGCUUCCAGCUCCGCCUUCAGCUCCGCAAACAGGUCGUCGUGCAGUAGCGGCGGCGCUGCCGUGACCCCCCUCUGGGGCCUCCGGGUCCCCGCACGGGCGGCUGACGUCUGAUGACCCCUACCAGAUGGCUGCGGUUGCGGCUGUAGCGGCUGUAGCACUUCUUGCGGUUUUCCCGUGGCUCCCGGCGACCGGUCUACCCCCAGGUACCCCGCUCCGCCCUCCCCAGUUAGACCCCUGUCCCUGUCCCUGUCCCUGUCCCUGUGCGGGUGCGGGUGUACGGAAUGCCCAGCGGGGUAUUGAGGACCAUGGCUCCCACAUGGUGGCGGUGCUGCUGCGGCUGCCGGCACCCGCCCUGGCGGGGUCCCUGGCUGGCCCUGUCCUUGCCUUUGCCCCUGCUGCUCCUGGCCCUGCUCCUGGCCCUGCAGCAGAGGCGCAAAUGGCGUCUGCGGCGGACGCUCCAGCGGGGGGAAGGGUGCGCGGGGCUUGGUGGGAGUGCGGUUCGGUCGGGACGCGUAGCCGGGGAGCAGGGUGAUAAGGCCCUCGCCAGCGUACGGCACAGGCUGGUCGGCGCUGAAGGCGAGGAGUUCUGACGGCUCGCUAAUCUGUUGGGUCGGGGUGUCUAUGGGGGGCGGCCGGGGGCGGGGUCGAACCGCAGUAGUGGCAGCAGCAGCAGUGGCAGUAGCAGUAGCAGUAGCAGCAGCAGCAGCAGCAGCAGCAGUAGCUGCACCGCCGGUAAUUGUUUUCGCUGUCGCUGCUGCUGGCACCGCAGAAGAAGGCCCCGCCGUCACAGCGCUGCCGUUGCCAUUGCCGUUACCGUUAUUAGCGGUCCUGGCAGGGUUCUUGGCACCGCCUUUGGCACUGGCAAGCGGCAAGACAGUCUUUGGAGCACCAGGUCCAUGGCGGAGGUUUCCGCCGAGAUUGGGGAAGCCACGGAGGCCGGGAGAAAGCGGAAACGACGGGGUGAGGGGAGCCGAGGAGGGAGGGGCGAGAUUCAACGGGGAUGGAGGCGUUUUGCGGGGGGAGAUGCAUGGGGGGGAGAAUUGCAACGGGGGGCACAGCAGGAGGAGCGGUGGCGAGGUUCGGGCUGGAGAAAGGGCAAGGGGGAUGACUUACGCGUCGGUGGGUUUAAGAUGAAGGAAAAGGUUCGGGAUGCUGGUAGCAGUGUGCCUGAUUGCUAUGCGUUACUGGAGGUUCAAUGGCUUAAGCGGGGGAAACCGGCUUGGGUGGGGAGCACGCGGGAUGCUGUGACCAAGGCAUGGAACUGUUAUUGACAUGGGAAAGGAUAGCAAGCCGCUUCGUUGCGCACCCACCAGGAAAUCGUGGGGUCCCAGUUCCAGCGAUGAGAGCGGGGUGGAGUCCGUUACUGUCGCUCCCUGAAGGGGUCCAUGCGUCAACUUAGCGACGAAACAUGUGCCAAAUGCGUGGGAAAGGCCGUGAUGUGGCCUUCUUACCCUGCAAAAGAUUUUGAACCGGGAAAGCUGAGGAUUGAGCGCCGUGACCUUUCUUCGUAAGUCCGCGACGGUAUCGCCAUCGCGCUCGACCUCCAACUUGGCAGACCAUCCCGUUAAGCUUCGAACGUUGAUGCUUUUCACCAUCUAAUACCGGUGCGUCAGCGCAGGUGCUGCGUUAUCGUAGGACUUGACGCAUGGCGUGCGUGCUGUGAGUUUGUGCGACUGUGAAGGACAAAGGGCAAUGGCUCUGCAGCAUAAGCACGCAUCAACAAUGAUACUCUUCAUUAAAUAUUUUUAUCAUGCCACUGGUUAUUUCAUUUCCCUUGUCUCGCACGUAGUCGUCCGUGCAAGGUGCAACUAUAAGACCUUUGGUUCUAACCAGCUAGCAUCGUCGAAGGUAACUUUAGGUCCAUAAGAUAUUACAUGUCUGAUUUUCUAUAUUUACACCUAUUAUCCUGAAUUAGAGAUCUCGGACGAACGUGAGGUCCACCGUGGAAGUCUCCAUCGGAACGCAACCUCAUCCCAUUUCUCAAGCUCGCACAUAUCGCCAAAUCGCUACAAUCGUACACACUUGUCUCAUGAGGCUGCAACCGGGCCUACCUGCUGGCACCGGGCCGCUCCGAAGUCGCCAUGUCGUACGUGCCACCGCGAAGGGCGUCACCGAUUCCCGGCCCCAGCCUCCCUUCCUGCCUCCUCGCGAGUCCCGCCAACUCUACACCUUCACUGAAAUCCACGGCUCGGAGGAACGCGACCUUCUGCCUUCACCACCAUCAAAACCCAGCCAACCCACCCCUUCCUCCUCCUCCUCCUCCUCCUCCCUGCCCAGCUCCUCCCCCGCCCCUGGAGCCUCCCCAAGCCCGCUAUCCUCCAUUCCAGACAGCAUCCGCGACCUCUUCCUUCCGCCGGGCUUCCCCGACUCCGUCACACCCGACUACCUGCCGUACCAACUGUGGUCGUUACCCACCCACGUGACCGGCCACCUGUCCCACUCUCUCGCCACGUCCUCACUGCUGACCGCUGUGGGUGUGAGCACCUCCCCAGCCGCCACUGUGGCCCUGUCCGCCUCCAUCAAGUGGAUCAUUAAGGACGGGGUGGGGGCCCUGGGCCGCUUCAUAGUGGGCAGGUGGGUAAGGCAGGGAUGGAGAGGCUGGGAUGGAUCCAAUCAAGGACGUUAGGAUCCAGGGAUGGAUCCAACCGUGCGGAUCUGAAGCUGGAUCCUACCGAUGGGCGUGUAGUGUACCACCCGAGGGACUACGCGAUGGCAAAGAGCAUUGUGUCGUGUGGCUGAAGGAAAGACGGUCGUAAGGGUUUAAAGGAAUGUUUGUCCUGGAAGAGCAAUCCAGGAGGGGUUCACUGCGGCAUACAUCCCCAUACAUACAUACAUACAUACAGGCAGACAGACAG